rnacentral:rRNA from 1 species
AAUUAAUGCUCGCUCCAGGCAUAACACAUGCAAGUCCAAUGUUAUUUAAACAUGGCGUACGGGUGCAGAGGAACUAAGAAUCUACCCCACUGUCUUGAAUAACAUCCAGAAAUACAAGAUAAGAUUUAAAAUACCUAAAGAUUUUAUCGCAGUGGGUCGAGCUUGGUGAGUAUUAGGUUGUUGGUUGUAUAAGAGACUUCCAAGCCGAUGAUGCUUUGCGGGUCUGGGAGGACGUUCCGCCACAUGGAGAUUGAAACAAGGCUCUGACAUUUAGGUGGCAGCAGUGAGGAAUAUUGGACAAUGGGCGAAAGCUUGAUCCAGCCAUGGCGCAUUGGGUGAAAUGGAAGGCUCCACGAGGCCGUAAAACCCUUUGUUAGUAGAAACAUUGAUUUUACUAAAGAAAGUAGUCCCGGCUAAUUUCGUGCCAGCAGCCGCGGUAAAAC